rnacentral:rRNA from 1 species
UACGAAGGGAGCUAGCGUUGUUCGGAAUCACUGGGCGUAAAGCGCACGUAGGCGGAUGUGUCAGUCAGGGGUGAAAUCCCGGAGCUCAACUUCGGAACUGCCCUUGAUACAGCACGUCUUGAGUCCGGAAGAGGUGGGUGGAAUUCCUAGUGUAGAGGUGAAAUUCGUAGAUAUUAGGAAGAACACCGGUGGCGAAGGCGGCCCACUGGUCCGGUACUGACGCUGAGGAGCGAAAGCGUGGGGAGCAAACAGG